rnacentral:rRNA from 1 species
GACGAACGCUGGCGGCGUGCUUAACACAUGCAAGUCGAACGGAAAGGCCCUGCUUUUGUGGGGUGCUCGAGUGGCGAACGGGUGAGUAACACGUGAGUAACCUGCCCUUGACUUUGGGAUAACUUCAGGAAACUGGGGCUAAUACCGGAUAGGAGCUCCUGCUGCAUGGUGGGGGCUGGAAAGUUUCGGCGGUUGGGGAUGGACUCGCGGCUUAUCAGCUUGUUGGUGGGGUAGUGGCUUACCAAGGCUUUGACGGGUAGCCGGCCUGAGAGGGUGACCGGCCACAUUGGGACUGAGAUACGGCCCAGACUCCUACGGGAGGCAGCAGUGGGGAAUCUUGCACAAUGGGCGGAAGCCUGAUGCAGCAACGCCGCGUGCGGGAUGACGGCCUUCGGGUUGUAAACCGCUUUCGCCUGUGACGGAGCGUGAGUGACGGUAAUGGGUAAAGAAGCACCGGCUAACUACGUG